GCCACCUUAGCUCAAUGGCAGAGCAACCGCUUCGUAAGUGGUAGGUUUCGAGUUCAACUCUCGAAGGUGGCU
rnacentral:tRNA from 1 species